UUUUGUCGCCUGUUGAAGACGGUUAAGGUGGAUAUCGAUUCUUCAGGCAAGAAAUGCAAGGAGAGGAAGAUGAAGGUUCUCAUUGAGACCCCUUUUUCUUCCUCCUGUGGACAUGGUCUCCAGCGUUUUGUAGUGACGGACUACCAGUCGUUACCAGAGCUGACUGCAGCCCUCAAGGAACUCAACAUGACAGAGCUUUGCCAGCAGAUACUGCCAUUAUUAAGUGACUGACAGCAUACAGGUUACCACAGUGACUAAAACCUAAACUGAGCAGAGCCUUUACAAAUCCAGACUCAGCAAGCACAGACUGACCGUAGAAACAGGCACAGCCAGGAAUGAGGGACUAUGUAUAAAAAUGGCUGUAAUUCCUGUGAUGGUUUUGUUAACCCCCAUUGAAUUAAAAGUAGUCUACACUUCAAUCACAUUUUGAUGGCUUUGUUUCACAGCCACUGUGAUGGUGUACAGAGGCAUUGCAAAAUUACAAAAAUUA